AUAGACGUGCUCAAAGCAGGCAAUGAAAUCAUCCACUGAAGCAUGUGUGGUCCACGGUGGAGCUGGUGUUUGAAUCUUCCGCUGCCUUUCCUCAGGCUGUGCCUUUAUUGCUUCCGCUCACACCUGGAAUAGGAUUUGAGUGGAAAUGUGAUUGGAGUAGAAGGCAUCAGGGAGGGAGCCUGAGCUGAGACCACAUCUUGAAAACACAGAAUUGAGGGAGCAGGUGGAAGAAAGAAAGUCAGCAGGCUUGGAGGAUGAUGAUAACCCAAAGAAGAUUAAGGUGCUGGUGGAGAAGGUGGUUGGCAAAGGAGCUGGAUGACCUGUCCUGACCCACGACCCUGAACCUCAGCCAGAUUGCAGCCUCUCAGAACCAAUGCUUGGACUCCAUGUUGGCUCCAAGCCCUCAACACUGCCAAAGUCUCCACAGGAAACAGCUGGUGUCACAGCUACUGACUGUGUCCUGGCCAGCUGGAGAAAU